CUCGUAGGCGGCCAACUAAGUCGGACGUGAAAUCCCUCGGCUUAACCGGGGAACUGCGUCCGAUACUGGAUGGCUUGAGUUCGGGAGAGGGAUGCGGAAUUCCAGGUGUAGCGGUGAAAUGCGUAGAUAUCUGGAGGAACACCGGUGGCGAAGGCGGCAUCCUGGACCGACACUGACGCUGAGGAGCGAAAGCCAGGGGAGCAAACG
rnacentral:rRNA from 1 species